rnacentral:rRNA from 1 species
GAUCCUGGCUCAGGUUGAACGCUGGCGGCAGGCUUAACACAUGCAAGUCGAACGGUAACAUAAAGGAGCUUGCUUCUUUGAUGACGAGUGGCGGACGGGUGAGUAAUGCUUGGGAAUCUAGCUUAUGGAGGGGGAUAACUACGGGAAACUGUAGCUAAUACCGCGUAGAAUCGGGAGAUGAAAGUGUGGGACCUUCGGGCCACGUGCCAUAGGAUGAGCCCAAGUGGGAUUAGGUAGUUGGUGAGGUAAAGG